AACUGUGAUAAGGUAGGUAAGUUCUUUGUAAAGACUUUACAAAGAACUUACCUACCUUAUCACAGUUUAGUGUU